rnacentral:lncRNA from 1 species
AAAACGGCGGUGGCCGAAGAGGUAAAAAAAUGAAGAGCCCGAUGUACAAGAAAUAUACGACGUUAGGAUGGAUAGUUGGGCGUGUUGGUUAAGCAUGAUCUGAAGUGAAGGCGCGAAAACGACGACGGAAGAGACACAUAGUGAAGAGCCCGAUGUACAAGAAAUAUACGACGUUAGGAUGGAUAGUUGGGCGUGUUGGU